CUGUUUCUCGUGAGGGCUGCCCGUGGGAACCUGGCUGGCACUCCUGCGUGGGCACCUGUGACGUUUAGGAGGGCUGACAUCUCGUGGACCAACGCUCAGCCGUGGGGAGAUGGGCACUGGUGGCGGGUACUCUUCCCGGAUCCCUAUCCCUCUACCUGGUUGACCUCCCAACAUCAGCUACCUGCACACCACCCUUCUCCGAAGCCGAAUUUUGGGCAGCUCAGGCCUGCCUGCUCAACUGGCCCCGAGCACCCAAAUGCAGACGAGGCAUGUCUCCGUGAUUCUCCGAUUGGAAGUACCCGGCCACCGGUGGCGACCCCAGGAUCUCGCGGCAUCUACUCCUGCAAAGCCGGCUGCUCUGUGCCUGACGCCCGGGGCCGACAGCCAGGCUUAUUUCCGCAUCAGCUGCACCUUGAGGAGCGGAGCACUGAGCGCCACGCUACGGGAGACAUUCUUUAUUUUCCUUUAUUAUUUUCUUUAAGAUUCAGAAUGCAAGGACCUUGGUGUCACCACAACCCUACUUUACAGCUCUUACUAGGACGUAAGUGCCUUGGGGCAGAGCCCGCGUCUCGUUCGUCUUGCUUUUCUAUCCCCCACCACUAGAUCGGACCCAUCGUGGGCCCUUCAUAAAUACAUGAACUGAGUUCACCUGCCUCCCCGCUACCCGGAAUCACAUCCCGCCAACCCGCUGAAGCACUAGCUCUUGCCUGCAUCCUUCGGGGACCCGCCUCUGCCCCAGGAUGAUGCACACUUGAACGGGGAGCUCCUGGAGACUACGCCCUUUGGGCUCAGAGGAAGAAGAAUCUAGAAGUGGAAGGGGAGGCUGUGGGAUCCUCAGGCAUGCACCAGCUACCCACCGCUCUGCUUGGCGGGGCAGGAGCCCGGAGAGCCCUCCUGCCUGAGCAGACCCAGACCCACAAUGUUAUUUUCUAGCAUCUCUGCUGACUCCCGUUGCCGCAGACCAAGCCGUAGAGCCCAGAGCGGUGCGUGGGGCUCGCAGGGCAGAUCCAGGGUGCCUACACAAAGCUGCUCGUUGGCAGGACCCUUCCCAUCCCCUGCCCACUGGAAUCAACUGUCGCUGGAUCUUUCUUGGCUCUGGGCUCUUGGUACAUUUGCAGUGUAUACCUUUGUCUCCCACCUGCCUCACUUUUAGGCUCCCACGCGUGCAGGGUGCACCUGGCUGCGCCCCCCCCCCCCCGCCCUUGCACUCCACGCCUCUCUGCUGUGCUCCCCGUGAUCCGCCCCUGGGCUCGGCCGGCCAGCCUGAACCCCAUCAAAGGCAGGCUUAAAAAAAAAAAGAAAAACAAACCCAUGCUGGAAGAGAAUGAGUGUUUCGGCAUAGAAACAGAAACGGCCUAAGGAAAGAGCAUGUAGAUGAGAGCAUCACAGCACGGGGGGCCGUCUGUGCUGUUGCCCGGCCUGCGCAGGACCCAGGACGGCUUCUCCAGAUCCCAGCCAGAGGCUCAGACAUGUUCUCUCUCCAUGGGGUUCUCUCCCGAGGUGUCCCCGCGGGAGGCGUGGAGCCCACGUUCCAGGCAAGCGGAACAGAAGCACGGACGUCAGCAGUUAGAGUCUCCCAAGGCCCUCCUGCUGGGCUGCUGGGGGCCUAGGUUUGUGCACCGCCCCCCCCCCCAACACUGGCCUUCUUCAGAUACGCUGGGAGCCUCUAUGGACCUCAAAUGCCAGCUUCUCUGAGCUGCUCUGUGUUGCUCUGAAGGGAAGGCAGAUAACAAAGGACCUUGACCGGGCGGUCGCCCUGCCUGAGCCCGUUGAGCAGCACUAAAGCCAGACUCUAAAGGGCUCUCAAGUCAGACCCGGCCCCGGUUCUGAUUGGCUGCAGCACUCUGCUUGCUGGUCCCGCCUCCCGACCCGGGGUCUACCUCAGCGGUCGGCUUGCUUUUCUUGUUAAGGACCAGAUAGCCAAGAUUUUUGGCCGUGAUGUCUUGAGAGCAGCUACUCAACUUGGCCGCUGUAGUGCAGAAGCAGCCAUGGACAACGUAUAAAAAAGCGAGCGUGGUUGUGUUACCCAGAAAGCAGGCAGCCGCCAGAUUUGGCCCACAGUUUGCUGACCCCUGUUCUAAUUUGUAAAACGAGGAUCGUGAAGGUAUUUAUUAGAUAGGACCGUUGCGAAAAUAAGGCUCUUAGCACAGAACGUGACAGACACUAAGUGCUGACGGAUGCCCAUGAGUAACGCUGUGCACCCGGAAUGGGGGCAGGUGUCCGGGCUGAGCACUGAGUUUAUUCUUCUGUAGAGCUCGACGUUCUCCUUUGACUUCUCUGGGCUGUGCAUCUGUAAAAUUCUGUGGUUGCACGGACUAGCGUCGAUGUUCGCGGAAGUCAGACUCGUUCAAGUGAGCAAAUGAUUCUUGAACACUCCAUAUGCCUGAGCCUGGUGGUGCAGGAAGAGGUUGGAGGAAGGGGCACGUCCUGUUAUAUCCACCUCUGAGCAUUUCUAGGCUCUGCUUUUCUGGUUCUGCAUCUUUCCAUCCUUCUCCCACUU